GAGCUAGCGGACAUGCUAUCUGGUUGGGUGAGUAACACGUACCUAACCUACCUUUAAGACUGGGAUAACUAUUGGAAACAAUAGCUAAUACCGGAUAUAGUUAUUUAUCGCAUGAUGAGUAAUAGAAAGGAGCUUCACAGCCUCACUUAAAAAUGGGGGUGCGGAACAUUAGUUAGUUGGUAGGGUAAUGGCCUACCAAGACGAUGAUGUUUAGCCGGGCCGAGAGGCUGUACGGCCACACUGGGACUGAGAUACGGCCCAGACUCCUACGGGAGGCAGCAGUAAGGAAUUUUCCACAAUGAGCGAAAGCUUGAUGGAGCGACACAGCGUGCAGGAUGAAGUACUUCGGACUGUCAACUGCUGUUAUAAGGGAAG
rnacentral:rRNA from 1 species